rnacentral:rRNA from 1 species
AGCGAACGCUGGCGGCAGGCCUAACACAUGCAAGUCGAACGAACUCUUCGGAGUUAGUGGCGGACGGGUGAGUAACACGUGGGAACGUGCCUUUUGGUUCGGAAUACCUCAGGGAAACUUGUGCUAAUACCGAAUGUGCCCUUCGGGGGAAAGAUUUAUCGCCAUUAGAGCGGCCCGCGUCUGAUUAGCUAGUUGGUGAGGUAACGGCUCACCAAGGCGACGAUCAGUAGCUGGUCUGAGAGGAUGACCAGCCACACUGGGACUGAGACACGGCCCAGACUCCUACGGGAGGGAGCAGUGGGGAAUCUUGCGCAAUGGGCGAAAGCCUGACGCAGCCAUGACGCGUGAAUGAUGAAGGUAUUAGGAUUGUAAAAUUCUUUCACCGGGGACGAUAAUGACGGUACCCGGAGAAGAAGCCCCGGCUAACUUCGUG